UUGCCUAUGAUGAUAUCAGCUAUCAAAAUACCAUCUUUUGGGACUGAAUGGCUAGUAGGCCUUGCUGUUAUUCUACAAUUCUGAGGCCU
rfam:Vitis vinifera, whole genome shotgun sequence of line PN40024, unoriented chromosome 17, chr17